rnacentral:rRNA from 1 species
AUUGAACGCUGGCGGCAGGCUUAACACAUGCAAGUCGAGCGGGGAAGGGUAGCUUGCUACCUGACCUAGCGGCGGACGGGUGAGUAAUGCUUAGGAAUCUGCCUAUUAGUGGGGGACAACAUUCCGAAAGGAAUGCUAAUACCGCAUACGCCCUACGGGGGAAAGCAGGGGAUCUUCGGACCUUGCGCUAAUAGAUGAGCCUAAGUCAGAUUAGCUAGUUGGUGGGGUAAAGGCCUACCAAGGCGACGAUCUGUAGCGGGUCUGAGAGGAUGAUCCGCCACACUGGGACUGAGACACGGCCCAGACUCCUACGGGAGGCAGCAGUGGGGAAUAUUGGACAAUGGGCGAAAGCCUGAUCCAGCCAUGCCGCGUGUGUGAAGAAGGCCUUUUGGUUGUAAAGCACUUUAAGCGAGGAGGAGGCUACCGAGAUUAAUACUCUUGGAUAGUGGACGUUACUCGCAGAAUAAGCACCGGCUAACUCUGUGCCAGCCGCCGCCGUAAAAC